rnacentral:lncRNA from 1 species
CAGGCUAAUUGGUGACAUCAACCAAAGCCCUGAAAGUGAUUCUGGCAGAAAACGAACUUGUCUCUGUGAAGCAGGUGAAGAGCCCGAGACUUUGGAAUAGACACACUGGCAGCGACGGGGAUGAGACCCCACCAGGGAGGAGGUGCUAAGCCCAAUUGCAGGAUGUCUCUGGGUGUCCUCCAGGCACCCCAGCUUUGAAGGCACCCCACCAACCCGGGAUCCACAAACGUUUCCGCCAGAUGUGCAGCCCUUGGAGCAAGUCGUUAAACAACUGCUUUGAAGAUGAAGAGCCCUCGGAGCACGCUAAGUAGCUUUAUUAUUGUCGUGCAGUGUGUGUCACCCUGCGGAGGAUUCAACUCCCAGCACUGUCACCGCUGGGGAAUUAGUGAAAGGCAAACUCAGCCGGGAAUGCCGAGUGCCAAAAAAGAGGAGCGAAUAAAAUGCUGGGGGUGGGAGGAAGGGGACGGUGGGUGCCUGAGCUUUGAAAUUCUGCCACUGAAAGUUCUCUCCCAUGGAUCCUCUUCCAACCCGCCCCGAGUGCAACAACUGGACCCGCCAUGUGACAGGCGCUGCAGACGGAUCGCGUUUCACACAUGCAGCUGUAAUAUCUGGCACACAGGUGUUUGGUUCUGUGUUUGCCAGCUGCUCUGCAGCGCCCUGCUACAAUGGAUAUGGGUCGGGGGGAGGGGAACCCUCACACUUGUUGCUGCCAAAAGGGAGGAGGGAGCUGGAGAUUCCUGCCCCCCGGCCAAGAGCUCAGCAUUUGACUCUGCUUGGGUCUCCCCCAGUGCCUGCUUUAGAGGGUCCUGGGGCCUCUUCUCAUGGGCUCACCCAGGACUCGGCUGUGGCUGGCUGGGAGGGCAAACAGGGCGCCUGGGAAACCUCCAAGCAAACUGGCCAGGGCCCCAGGAAGCCAGGUCCGGAAGCAGCGUUACUUUUGUUAUUCCUGCCUGGGGAAGGUGGGACGGGGCAGAAACUCACCGGGCUCCUGGGCCAUAUCCCUGGACCCCUGUCAUUCAAGCCUGGCCCAGCUGUUCUGGGUCUGAGGCCCAGAUAUCACCAGUGUCCAGAUAUCAACAGAUAUCGCACAGAUCAUUGGUUUUCUGCUCUUUUUCCCUCCUCAGGGAGGAAGAGGGCUGGCCAUUCAGGACAGUGAAGUCACCGAAGAAAGGUGGCAGCAGGGGAGACUGGGGGUGGACUCCCCAGCCCGUGCCCGCUGGAAGCCCCUCUCCUUUCCCUUCUUAGCACCUGCCGGAUGGAACAUCUAUGCAGCUAGGACUGUUAUAUGGAGGGUUUUCUCCCGGAGUGAGUGGGUGGAUGAGUGGGACGGUAUUCUCACGCCACAGCUGCUCCCAGCCCUAUUUUAAGGACAGAGAAUAUGCAUGUUUAAAGGACUGGAUGCAUGAUCACACAUGACACGUCCAGCUCCAUGUCACAUGUCACUCCCCAGCCUCAGACCUAUCCUUUGCAUCCUCUCUCCACCCUUCUUCUGACCCCUUGUCCUGCUUGGCUCCCUGCUAAUGGGCCCAUGCCUCGCCUUCUCUUCCUACCUCCCCUCUCCUGCCCCAUCCCCCUGUUCCUUGUCUCUCCUGACUCUGGGAGUUGGAACUACCCAGGUCACAGCAAGGCUUGUAGGAAGAAGAGUACCAUGGGGAUCCCAGAGGGCCAAGGCCCAGCCAAGCUCUGUGCUUUGGACAUGGAGACUAGUGGUUGUCUUUCUGGGUUUGCAAACUUUGUGAAAUGAGCAUCGUCUGCUCUGUAUCCUUCUUGUGCAUAUUUUAAAAGACUCCACCCAGCCUCAUCUCUUUCAAGGAGUUUGUUCCCCACUAACUGGGCUGGACAGGUGAGAAUGCUCUUGCUACAAUCUUCCCCAGUUCUAGGCCUGGCUCAUGCGUG